AGGGCAUGAUUAAACUUUCGUUUUAAAACCUUGUUAUUACAGCAAAUAUUGAUCUCAUAACAUUUUACAGUAAUUAACAUAUAUAUGUCACUCUAUGUUGCAGAAAGCAGGUACCUGGGUGACUGUCAGAAGAGGGAAAGGGAAUAAGCAGCCUGUGCAGAAUACCCCAGUGACAGUUCCCCUCAGUAAUACAGUGCCUUGAAAAAGCAUUCAGCCCCCACAACUACUUUCACACUUUCCUGUCUCAUUUUCUACAUUUAAAAUAAAUUGAAGUAGGAUUUUUGAGCUAUACUGAAAAAUUCUAAACAACCUGUCAACAAUUUACUAAAAAUUGAAAACCAAAAUUGUGAGGCUAAAAAGGUAUUCAUACCCUUUGGAAUUACUACACUAACUUUUCUCAGGUGCAAUACUGUAUGUUAACUUACCAACUCAUCCAAUUUGUUGAUAUGGAAAAUUGGAAGGGUACAGACAAUCUCAAAGGCACUGAACAUAGGAGCUCAGUGCAGUCCUUUGUGGAAAAAAAAAACACUCCUUAGAUCAGGCUGUCCCUCUAAAUUUAGUCAUUAGAGACAAAUGACACUUCUGAAGAGAGGCUACUGUGAUGCCAACAGUCACUCUGAGUGAGCUGCAGAAGUCAGUAGCUGCAAAUGGAAUUGAAGUUCAUGGCUCGGGGGUGGAGUUUCAAGAUGGCGACGUAGACAUCUGCCUUUUAGGCGCUCUUCAUUUUUUAAGCUAUAAUCACCCUUUAAUCAAAUCUUUUCGUACUUAAUCAUAUGGGUUGAUAUUUAUGAUUUAUUUUUCUUUUUAAAAAUAACACUGGAUUUAACUUUUUCAAACUUAAAAUGUCUGUACCUAAGAAAUCGUCUAAAGACCCUAUAACUCUCGAUGCAAUCUCCAAUCUCCUGGAUACUAAACUUGCAAGUCUGGAAAACAAACUUACUGCGAAAAUAUCAGAGCUUGAAGAAGUCGUUAAAUCAUUUGAUAUCAAGCUUCAAUCGCAGGCAGCAGUUAUUGAACGCCAUGAAGAAAAGUUUGCGGCUCUUGACAAGAUAAUUUGUGAAAAAAUACGUACAAUCGAAACUUUGGAGGAGAAGGUAUGAUCGACCGCUAAAAUAGUGGAGCAGUAUAAGUUUAAAAUCACCGAUCUUGAAAACCGGUCUCGCAGACAGAAUUUGCGUAUUAUUGGAUUUCCUGAAAAUCUCGAGUCUGGUGACUUAACUGAAUAUUUCUCUAAUUUAUUGUGGGAAAUUUUUGGCGAGGACGCUUUGCGGGUUAAACCUACUAUUGAUCGUGCCCACAGAGUUUCGGGAUUUUCGGCUGCGAAAGACAAGCCACGAGCUGUGAUUGUCCGUCUCCAUUAUCCUCGGGAGAAAGAGCUUUUAAUUCAAUUCGCUCAUCAGAAAGGUAUGAUUUCUCACAAAGACAACAAGUUUCAUAUUGUGGAGGACUAUUGAGGGCGAGAAUUGCUUUUAAACCGGUGAUGGCGGAGGUUCAUUCGAUUGGACUUAAACAAGCUUUAAGAUAUCCAGCGAAUCUCAGAAUUACGUUGAGCAACAACAGUCAGCUUUUCUUUAAUACUCCGGAAGAAGUGAAGAAAUUCAUUGAAGAAUAUCGCUCUUCUAGUACAACAUGAACUAUGUGUUAUGUGGAAGAACUUUUGGAGAGAAGACGCCAUUCCGUUUUAGGCUUUAACUUAUGAAGCUGUGGUAUAGCUUUUUAUUUUGGUCUGUAGACCUGGUUUUUUUUUAUUAUUAUUAUCAUGAUUUACAGAUGCUUUUUUAAACUUUACUAUAAUGUCUUUUUUCUUAAUUAAUUUUUUUCCCCUCUGGAUUAGAUAUACAUGACUUUGUAAUAAUGAUUUAUUUUUUAAGAUGUCGUUUCUUCUUCCCAUAAGACUUUGCUUUCCGUAAGCGUUUAUUUGCCUGUAUUUGAGAAUGGGACGAAUGUUUUGAAUUUUUGAACUUUUUUUAUAUAUAUAUUGUAGUGGUUAUUGAACCCUUUUUUAAUUCUAUUUUGAUAACCUUUUUUUUUUAAAAAAAGAUUGGUGAAUUUACAUCUAUAUUUUGUAAUAUGGUCCUUUCAAAAUGUCGUUUCUUCUUCCCAUAAGUCUUUGUUUUUGAAACGUCAUUUCCUUAUAUUUGAAUAUGGAAUUUUUUUAAAGGCAUAUUACACUAUUUUAAACUUCAAUGGUUAUCCUUUUUUAUUAAUGAUUUUUUGCUUUUUUAUAUUAUUUUUUCAUUUUGAUUGAUAUAUAUUCUUUUUGUUUACAACCCUGUAUUUAUAUCUGGGUGUUAUAUAGUUGCUCUUUUCUUUCUUUUCAUGAAGUCACCAUCUUGAAAAUGGGGCUAAUAUUAGUGUUAGUUUGUGCGCCUGCCGCUUGGCUUUUUUCCGUGGGGUUGGGGGAGGGGGUAGGGAUCUUCUUUCACGCUUUUGCUUUUUAUUUUUUUGCUUUUAGUUUAUGGGCCGACUUUAAAUUAUUAAUAUUGUUGAGGUGUCAUGUUCGCCGGUUGCUCCUGAAUCAUUUUUCCUUCUUCCUGAUUUAUGGGUUAUGUGUCUUUUUAACCUAUUAUGAUAUACACAAUUAAUAUUGACAUGAUGGAUAAGUCUGUUAACUUUAUCUCUUGGAAUACUAAUAGUUUAAAUCAUCUGAUUAAACGUAAAAAAAUAUUUAAAGUAUUCCAUAGACUAAAUGCUAAUAUUAUUUUUGCACAGGAGACCCAUAUUGGGAGGGAGGAUAAUCAAUGCUUUUUUUGGUUCUGGAAAGGUCAACAAUUCCACUCGAAUUCUACCGCCAAAAUUAGGGGUGUGUCUAUUUUUAUAGACCCUUCAAUUUCGUUUACACAUCAUGAAAUUAUUUCUGGCCCACAGGGCAGAUUUUUGUUGAUAACUGGUUCACUUUUUAAUCGAAAAGUUGUUCUAGUUAAUAUUUAUGCUCCAAACUUUGACUGCCCUGAAUUUUUUAAACAUUUAUUUACUUCCCUUCCUAAUCUAAAUGAAUAUAUGUUGAUAAUGGGUGGAGAUUUCAAUUGUUGUUUGAAUCCUUCAAUGGAUAGAUCUAAACCUAUUCGAAUUCUUCCGAAUAGAUCAGCCUCACUUAUUAAUUCUUUUAUGGUUGAUUCGGGAAUUACUGAAAUAUGGCGGUUUUUGAACCCUAAAGAUAAAGAAUUUUCGUUUUUUUUCCACAUGUAUAUCACAGUUAUUCUAGAAUUGAUUAUUUCCUUAUUGAUCAUCGUUUAUUAACAGAUGUUAUUGAUUGUAAAUAUGAUUCUAUUGCUAUUUCGGAUCAUGCACCUUUGAAGUUAUCUAUCAAGAUUUCGGACUUUUCGAAUAAUACUAGAUCUUGGAGACUUAACGCUACUUUGCUUCAAGAUCCAGAAUUCAUCACCUACAUAAAACAGCAAAUUGACUUGUUUUUCUCAACAAACUAUACAGAAGAGAUUGACAGAGGAAUACUUCGGGAUUCUUUUAAGGCUUUUAUCCGUGGACAAAUUAUCUCAUAUUCUGUCGAUUGAAAAAGAAAAAGAAGUUCAUGGCUCCACAAUCUCUAAAGCCUUACACAAAAUGGGAAAAGUGGCAUGAAAGAAGCCCUAGCCAAAAAAAAUCAUCCUUGCCCAUAAAGACUUUGCAAAUACUAUAAAGAAAUGGAAGAAGGUCUUAUGGUUGAUGACAAAGAAGUGGAACUUUUUGGCCUCAACACCAAGCAUGGUGAUUUUGGAGCAGUAUAGCAGUUAGCUAUACUACAACUCAAGGCAUUGGAGUUUGGAGUUCAAAUCUGCCGCUGCCUAUGCUGCCUGGCCUGCUGAGUUCCUCCAGCAUUUUGUGUGCAUUGAUUGGAUUUCCAGCAUCUGCAGAUUUCUCAUUUGUGAAACAAGAACUGAAGUAACUCUUACACAACAACUUCGAAAAAAUUCACAUAACUCUAAAAACAAUUUAUCUGGGAGUUUCCAUCUGCAGCAGCUUUCAAAUAGGUGGACAGAUUUAACAGGAGUAAAAUUUGAAAAUAACACGCAUUGGCACAAAGACCACGAGGACAAAGUCAAAGACACUAACGUCUCUUGGAAGGGGUGCCCUGCACAUUGAGUGUCUGCAUCUGGCUGCCAUAAUCAAAGUGAGGUUUCCAACGCUGGCUCAACCCUCUGAAGCUUUCAAAAUCCCUCCUAAAACACUGAUUCUCUGAUCUUCUCUUCUCCUUUAUCGUUACUACUUUGAUCUAGCUUUUCACCACCCAAUGGCUUCUUAAGUAAUUUAGUAUCAAGUAUUUUUAAUAACAUUUCCAUUAAUAGCCUUGGGCCCAAUACAAAGUUAAAACUGCAAAAAAAAAAUGCUAGUGUAGUCCCUCAAACUCUAGUUGAAGCACUUUACAACCCCUCAUUGUGUAAUGUGAAGAAUGCCAGCAGAGCAUUAGACAAUUAACUCAAAUAGAGGAUUCCACAAAACAGUGACCUUACAUGAAUAUAUAUUCUGAGUUAGAAUUGAAGGACUGAAUGGGACAGUGUAGUAAUUAUUCUGGAACACAAAAAUCAUGAAACUUCA